CGAUUCUUGUUAAACUCGAUCUCAAAUCAAGUAAGACUACCCGCUGAACUUAAGCAUAUCAAUAAGCGGAGGAAAAGAAACUAACAGGAUUCCCCUAGUAACGGCGAGUGAAGCGGGAUGAGCUCAAAUUUAAAAUCUGGCUGGUUUACUAGUCCGAAUUGUAGUUUAUAGAAGCGUUUUCGGUGGCAGCCUGGGUAUAAAUCCUUUGGAAUAGGGUAUCAUAGAGGGUGAGAAUCCCGUCUUUGACUCAGUGCAUGCUACUAUGUGAUACGUUUUCAAAGAGUCGAGUUGUUUGGGAAUGCAGCUCAAAAUGGGUGGUAAAUUUCAUCUAAGGCUAAAUAUUGGCGAGAGACCGAUAGCGAACAAGUACCGUGAGGGAAAGAUGAAAAGAACUUUGAAAAGAGAGUUAAACAGUGCGUGAAAUUGUUGAAAGGGAAACGUUUGACACCAGUUAUGCGGGUGGAAAAUCAGUCUUUUGCAAUGGGGAGUUGUGGGCGUUCAGACCGCAAGGCUGGCGUUUGCUUCAUCUUUGUUGUAAGUGAUGCACUUUUUCAUUUGCAGGUCAACAUCAGUUUGCUUUGCUGGACAAAACCCCAAGGGAAGGUGGCAGCUUAGGCUGUGUUAUAGCCCUGGGGCGAUACAGUGGAGUGGACUGAGGUUUCGCAGUGUGUGCUCUCGGGCAAGGCUGACUGGGUGCUAUGGGAUCGUUCGGCGUACAAUGCAUGCAUUUUGCGUCGUGUCUUUUUCAUACUCGCUCAACUCGGCUCUUCCACACUUAGGAUGUUGACUUAAUGGUUUUAAACGA
rnacentral:rRNA from 1 species